rnacentral:rRNA from 1 species
GAUGAACGCUGGCGGCGUGCCUAAUACAUGCAAGUCGAGCGAACGGACGAGAAGCUUGCUUCUCUGAUGUUAUCGGCGGACGGGUGAGUAACACGUGGAUAACCUACCUAUACGACUGGGAUAACUUCGGGAAACCGGAUCUAAUACCGGAUGAUAUUUUGAACCGCAUGGUUCAAAAGUGAAAGUCGGUCUUGCUGUCACUUAUAGAUGGAUCCGCGCUGCAUUAGCUAGUUGGUUAGGUAACGGCUUACCAAGGCAACGAUGCAUAGCCGACCUGAGAGGGUGAUCGGCCACACUGGAACUGAGACACGGUCCAGACACCUACGGGAGGCAGCAGUAGGGAAUCUUCCGCAAUGGGCGAAAGCGUGACGGAGCAACACCGCGUGAGUGAUGAAGGUCUUCGGAUCGUAAAACUCUGUUAUUAGGGAAGAACAUAUGUGUAAGUAACUGUGCACAUAUUGACGGUACCUAAACAGAAAGCCACGGCUAACUACGUG